ACCAAAUUGGCAGAAUAGUGUAAUUGAUUUAGGAUCAGGGUAAAUAGGUGAGACUCCUUUAUUUGGUA
rnacentral:tRNA from 1 species